CACGUGACUAACCUACCUUCAAGUGGGGGAUAACAUCGGGAAACCGAGGCUAAUACCGCAUAACAUCUUCGAAUCGGAAGCUGCAAAAUCAAAGCAGCAAUGCGCUUGAAGAGGGGGUCGCGGCUGAUUAGCUAGUUGGCGGGGUAACGGCCCACCAAGGCGAAGAUCGGUAUCCGGCCUGAGAGGGCGCACGGACACACUGGAACUGAAACACGGUCCAGACUCCUACGGGAGGCAGCAGUGGGGAAUUUUGCGCAAUGGGGGAAACCCUGACGCAGCAACGCCGCGUGGAGGAUGAAG
rnacentral:rRNA from 1 species